rnacentral:sRNA from 1 species
ACUCAACACUAUUAAGUUUAAAAAGGGUGAGUUUAGAUUGUAAAAGCAUGCCUGGCUUGUACCAGGAUCCUUGAUCAGUUUGGUAACCCUAAACCUGUUAAUUGGAGUUU